ensembl:miRNA
AGGUAGGAGGAUUGCUUGAGCCUGGGAGAUGGAGGUUGCAGUGAGCCAAAAUCAUGCAACUGCACUCCAGCCUGGGUGGCAGAAUGAGACCUUGUCUC